GGACUCCGCACUGCCGCUGUCCACCUGCAGAGGGGGGAAGAGAGUCUAGUCUAUUAAGUGUGAGACAGUGGAGGCCCUGGGAAGGAAAAUACCAUGAAAUUCAAUAGCUAUGUAUGUGUUCUGGUAGCUCAGUCUAGAUUGAUCUACAUUUACCAAACUGCUACAGCACUGUCAAAAAAAAUGAUGGAUUCUUCAGCCAGUUCCCCUGUAACCUUGUACACUUAGGUACAUUGCAUCCAUCACAGUACUCGACAAGUAUUGUUAUUCAUUCAAGUUGCUGUGGUAACCUAAGCACAAGUGCAGAUAGACUUGAAUUUUAGGUAUGAUCCAAUAAAAGCCUAUUUGGUAUGUCACCAUAUUAUACAGUCUCUCUGGUCUAAGUGUCGAACAAUAUAAGUGGACACAUAGGCCAUUCACCUUACAGUGCAUUAAGUACAGUAAAUAACACCACUCAUGUUAAGCCUCAAAUUCCAAGCUACACCCAUAGCAAAUACUUAUAAACAGUAAAAAUCAC
rnacentral:lncRNA from 14 species